ACAACAUUAGGACCGUCGGUGCACCGAGCAAUAUCAUCCGCUCGGUGGAAGAUCUCUACGUUGU
rnacentral:pre_miRNA from 1 species